UUGAACGCUGGCGGCAGGCCUAACACAUGCAAGUCGAGCGGAUGAUGGGAGCUUGCUCCUGGAUUCAGCGGCGGACGGGUGAGUAAUGCCUAGGAAUCUGCCUGGUAGUGGGGGAUAACGUCCGGAAACGGGCGCUAAUACCGCAUACGUCCUGAGGGAGAAAGUGGGGGAUCUUCGGACCUCACGCUAUCAGAUGAGCCUAGGUCGGAUUAGCUAGUUGGUGGGGUAAAGGCCUACCAAGGCGACGAUCCGUAACUGGUCUGAGAGGAUGAUCAGUCACACUGGAACUGAGACACGGUCCAGACUCCUACGGGAGGCAGCAGUGGGGAAUAUUGGACAAUGGGCGAAAGCCUGAUCCAGCCAUGCCGCGUGUGUGAAGAAGGUCUUCGGAUUGUAAAGCACUUUAAGUUGGGAGGAAGGGCAGUAAGUUAAUACCUUGCUGUUUUGACGUUACCAACAGAAUAAGCACCGGCUAACUUCGUG
rnacentral:rRNA from 1 species